rnacentral:rRNA from 1 species
UAGGGAAUCUUCGGCAAUGGGGGCAACCCUGACCGAGCAACGCCGCGUGAGUGAAGAAGGUUUUCGGAUCGUAAAGCUCUGUUGUAAGUCAAGAACGAGUGUGAGAGUGGAAAGUUCACACUGUGACGGUAGCUUACCAGAAAGGGACGGCUAACUACGUGCCAGCAGCCGCGGUAAUACGUAGGUCCCGAGCGUUGUCCGGAUUUAUUGGGCGUAAAGCGAGCGCAGGCGGUCUGAUAAGUCUGAAGUUAAAGGCUGUGGCUCAACCAUAGUUCGCUUUGGAAACUGUCAAACUUGAGUGCAGAAGGGGAGAGUGGAAUUCCAUGUGUAGCGGUGAAAUGCGUAGAUAUAUGGAGGAACACCGGUGGCGAAAGCGGCUCUCUGGUCUGUAACUGACGCUGAGGCUCGAAAGCGUGGGGAGCGAACAGGAUUAGAUACCCUGGUAGUCCACGCCGUANCGAUGAGUGCUAGGUGUUGGAUCCUUUCCGGGAUUCAGUGCCGCAGCUNACGCANUAAGCACUCCGCCUGGGGAGUACNANCGCAAGGNUG